rnacentral:snoRNA from 1 species
GAAGAAGCAUAGCUGCACGCCGUUGGAAACACUUCAUAGAGUAACUGUGGUUUUGCUUUACUCACAGGACUAUUUGUUAGAUCUGUGUGAAGGAACUACAAGACAGUC